rnacentral:rRNA from 1 species
AAUCAACGCUGGCGGCGUGCCUAACACAUGCAAGUCGAACGCGAGAGGGGCUUCGGCCCCGAUUGAGCGGCGAACGGGUGAGUAACACGUGGGUGACCUACCUUCGAGUGGGGGGAUAACGUCCCGAAAGGGACGCUAAUACCGCAUAACAUUCCGCUUUGAACAAGUGAAAUCAAAGCCGGGGAUCGUAAGACCUGGCGCUUGAAGAGGGGCCCGCGUCCGAUUAGCUAGUUGGUGAGGUAACGCUCACCAAGGCGACGAUCGGUAGCCGGCCUGAGA